AUCAUUCAAAAUUGUUUGACUGGAUCACACAUAGUCGAAAACAGCUAAAAAAUCUAGAAGUUGUUCAAUAUGUGGCCUUGGAAGUAAAUAAGUCAAAAAAUGACUAAAAAAAUUGAGGAAUUUUAGUGAAUUAAUUUCCUUAAAAUAGGCCCUGCUGCAAACAUUAGCU